rnacentral:lncRNA from 1 species
GUGGAUUCUUCGUGCUAGAUCUUUCUAACACUUUAAUGCAGGUUUAUCACGAGUCCAUAAUACUUUGCUGAAGGUUUAUCGCGAGAUCAAGGAAAGAUCGCGAUUAUUUCAUCUUUCUUGUUAUUCCUCGAAAUCGAUUAUAGAUUAAUUCUCGUAACUUUCUGUCAGCUGUUACUGUUUUGAUCAUAUCUUUUGAUUAGUACGUACGAUUUAGGUGAUUAUUGUUGCGUUGGUUAGAUAAUUUCAAUAAAUUUCUUUUGCAUGCUAAUACAUAUUUUUGGUUCAUCCAAUCAAAAGGUACGGCUGUUUUACUAUCACGUACAGAAAGGUGAUUUAGGGUUUUAACUUUCGUUAAAAGUUUUAAUUUGCUUUCGCGCAAUCAUUCAUCCCCCUCUGAUUGCCUAUCUUGAUCUCACACUAGCAAACUCCGAAUCAUGUUCGGUUUCAUUUUUUGGGAAGUACGCUUGAAAUUCUUCUCUCUCAGCUGGGUGGAUGCUUAAUUCUUGUUGCACAUCCUGCUGCCCUUCAUUGUAUCUCAUUCUGAUCUUGGACUUGAAAAGCUACGAAAUACCUACAUAAUAAAAUGAGGCAAGAUAGUAGCUCUGCCUCUUCAUGCAUAUGACAUUGAAAACAAAUACUAAUUAACUUCACCUGAUUAUAAAUGGUAUCGAAUACUCUAAAAUUAAGUGUGCCAAAGGUCGUGUACAUGGUUAGCAUAUCAUAACAUCAUGUGUAUUAUGGAUUAGCAAAAGAACCCGUGCGAUGCUACGGAACAACGGAAAAUUGUAUCAAAACGUAAAAUUAAAUGUUGAUGUGUUUCAUGAGCACAUAUGUAUAUAAUGAUUGUGAUAUGUUUAUUUUCGUGGGCUAUACUUUGGUCUCUUUCUCUUUUGCACAUGUCUUAUUUCUAUAUUUAUUCUUGCCCUGCUCUCCUAUUACUCCUACUCCGUACGUUUUUUCUCAAAUCCCUUCUCCCAAUUUCUCGCUCUCCCUCUGACUAUCCUCUCCAUCCAUCCUAAGUGCAAACUCCUUCUCUCCCCAUCCCGAUUCAUCCCGCCACCGAAGAUCGCGCCGCCUUGAGCGGCUGCCCACUUGUGCGCACCGCCUCCGCCUGUAGAUUCCCGCCGCCCGUCCGCUCCUGCGCGCCGCCUGCU